AUAAACAGUUGUGAGGUGAUAGUUUGACAAGGCUUUGGUGGAGGUUGUGUUAGUAUGUCCAUGGGUAGUGUUGUGAGCCUGGUGAUAGUGUGACAAGGCUUUGGUGGAGGUUGUGUUAGUAUGUCCAUGGGUAGUGUUAUGAGCCUGGUGAUAGUUUGACAAGGCUUUGGUGGAGGUUGUGUUAGUAUGUCCAUGGGUAGUGUUAUGAGCCUGGUGAUAGUGUGACAAGGCUUUGGUGGAGGUUGUGUUAGUAUGUCCAUGGGUAGUGUUAUGAGCCUGGUGAUAGUUUGACAAGGCUUUGGUGGAGGUUGUGUUAGUAUGUCCAUGGGUAGUGUUAUGAGCCUGGUGAUAGUUUGACAAGGCUUUGGUGGAGGUUGUGUUAGUGUGUCCAUGGGUAGUGUUAUGAGCCUGGUGAUAGUUUGACAAGGCUUUGGUGGAGGUUGUGUUAGUAUGUCCAUGGGUAGUGUUAUGAGCCUGGUGAUAGUUUGACAAGGCUUUGGUGGAGGUUGUGUUAGUGUGUCCAUGGGUAGUGUUAUGAGCCUGGUGAUAGUUUGACAAGGCUUUGGUGGAGGUUGUGUUAGUGUGUCCAUGGGUAGUGUUAUGAGCCUGGUGAUAGUUUGACAAGGCUUUGGUGGAGGUUGUGUUAGUGUGUCCAUGGGUAGUGUUAUGAGCCUGGUGAUAGUUUGACAAGGCUUUGGUGGAGGUUGUGUUAGUAUGUCCAUGGGUAGUGUUAUGAGCCUGGUGAUAGUUUGACAAGGCUUUGGUGGAGGUUGUGUUAGUAUGUCCAUGGGUAGUGUUAUGAGCCUGGUGAUAGUUUGACAAGGCUUUGGUGGAGGUUGUGUUAGUAUGUCCAUGGGUAGUGUUAUGAGCCUGGUGAUAGUUUGACAAGGCUUUGGUGGAGGUUGUGUUAGUAUGUCCAUGGGUAGUGUUGUGAGCCUGGUGAUAGUUUGACAAGGCUUUGGUGGAGGUUGUGUUAGUAUGUCCAUGGGUAGUGUUGUGAGCCUGGUGAUAGUUUGACAAGGCUUUGGUGGAGGUUGUGUUAGUGUGUCCAUGGGUAGUGUUAUGAGCCUGGUGAUAGUUUGACAAGGCUUUGGUGGAGGUUGUGUUAGUGUGUCCAUGGGUAGUGUUAUGAGCCUGGUGAUAGUUUGACAAGGCUUUGGUGGAGGUUGUGUUAGUAUGUCCAUGGGUAGUGUUGUGAGCCUGGUGAUAGUUUGACAAGGCUUUGGUGGAGGUUGUGUUAGUGUGUCCAUGGGUAGUGUUGUGAGCCUGGUGAUAGUUUGACAAGGCUUUGGUGGAGGUUGUGUUAGUAUGUCCAUGGGUAGUGUUAUGAGCCUGGUGAUAGUUUGACAAGGCUUUGGUGGAGGUUGUGUUAGUAUGUCCAUGGGUAGUGUUAUGAGCCUGGUGAUAGUUUGACAAGGCUUUGGUGGAGGUUGUGUUAGUAUGUC